UGCCUAAUACAUGCAAGUCGAGCGAGCUUGCCUAGAUGAAUUUGGUGCUUGCACCAAAUGAAACUAGAUACAAGCGAGCGGCGGACGGGUGAGUAACACGUGGGUAACCUGCCCAAGAGACUGGGAUAACACCUGGAAACAGAUGCUAAUACCGGAUAACAACACUAGACGCAUGUCUAGAGUUUAAAAGAUGGUUCUGCUAUCACUCUUGGAUGGACCUGCGGUGCAUUAGCUAGCUGGUAAGGUAACGGCUUACCAAGGCAAUGAUGCAUAGCCGAGUUGAGAGACUGAUCGGCCACAUUGGGACUGAGACACGGCCCAAACUCCUACGGGAGGCAGCAGUAGGGAAUCUUCCACAAUGGACGCAAGUCUGAUGGAGCAACGCCGCGUGAGUGAAGAAGGGUUUCGGCUCGUAAAGCUCUGUUGGUAGUGAAGAAAGAUAGAGGUAGUAACUGGCCUUUAUUUGACGGUAAUUACUUAGAAAGUCACGGCUAACUACGUGCCAGCAGCCGCGGUAAUACGUAGGUGGCAAGCGUUGUCCGGAUUUAUUGGGCGUAAAGCGAGUGCAGGCGGUUCAAUAAGUCUGAUGUGAAAGCCUUCGGCUCAACCGGAGAAUUGCAUCAGAAACUGUUGAACUUGAGUGCAGAAGAGGAGAGUGGAACUCCAUGUGUAGCGGUGGAAUGCGUAGAUAUAUGGAAGAACACCAGUGGCGAAGGCGGCUCUCUGGUCUGCAACUGACGCUGAGGCUCGAAAGCAUGGGUAGCGAACAGGAUUAGAUACCCUGGUAGUCCAUGCCGUAAA
rnacentral:rRNA from 1 species